GGGAGUAAAAUAGUCUAGCUCUACGGCUCUUAGCUGGUUGUGACAAUGCAUUUUAUGAACUCUAUUUGAAUAUGCCACUUGGCAUAUAUAAUGACACUCAGUCACCCACACGAAGCUUUCCUAUCCUCGUUUUUCUUUCUUUUCUUUUCUUACUGGGGUUCGAAUAUAAAGGUGCAUUCAUCAUACAAUGUCCCCCCAAAUCGGUCGGGCACCUACUUAAUCAAAUACUCGCAUAUUCUAACAGAGUUAAUAAAUUGCAUAGGUCCGGUUUGGGUGCUGGUUUGCAUCAGAAAUAAGAGACCGGCCAGCUCUCUGCCAGAAUUUGUUG
rnacentral:lncRNA from 1 species